rnacentral:rRNA from 1 species
ACGUAGGGACCAAGCGUUGUUCGGAUUUACUGGGCGUAAAGGGCGCGUAGGCGGCUUGACAAGUCACUUGUGAAAUCUCCGGGCUUAACUCGGAACGGCCAAGUGAAACUGUCAUGCUAGAGUGCAGAAGGGGCAAUCGGAAUUCUUGGUGUAGCGGUGAAAUGCGUAGAUAUCAAGAGGAACACCAGAGGCGAAGGCGGCUACCUGGACAAUUGCUGACACUCAGGCACGAAAGCGUGGGGAGCAAAAGGGA